rnacentral:ncRNA from 2 species
GUCCCCUAAUUGUAUAACUCUUGUAUAAGCUCAUUAAUUUGGUUUGAGCGUUUCUACAGGCAACCGUAAAUUGCCCCAGGCUACAGGAGGCACCGCAAAGCAG